UACGGAGGAUGCGAGCGUUAUCCGGAUUUAUUGGGUUUAAAGGGUGCGCAGGCGGCACGGCAAGCCGGCGGUCAAAUCGCGGGGCUCAACCUCGCCCAGCCGUCGGAACUGCCGGGCUAGAGUGGGCGAGAAGUGCGCGGAAUGCGUGGUGUAGCGGUGAAAUGCAUAGAUAUCACGCAGAACUCCGAUUGCGAAGGCAGCGCACCGGCGCCCUACUGACGCUCAGGCACGAAAGCGUGGGUAUCGAACAGG
rnacentral:rRNA from 1 species